rnacentral:rRNA from 1 species
UACGAAGGGGGCUAGCGUUGUUCGGAAUCACUGGGCGUAAAGCGCACGUAGGCGGCUCUUUAAGUCGGGGGUGAAUCCUGGAGCUCAACUCCAGAACUGCCUUCGAUACUGUAGAGCUUGAGUUCGGGAGAGGUGAGUGGAACUGCGAGUGUAGAGGUGAAAUUCGUAGAUAUUCGCAAGAACACCAGUGGCGAAGGCGGCUCACUGGCCCGAUACUGACGCUGAGGUGCGAAAGCGUGGGGAGCAAACAGGG